CUAUUUUUUGAUGGAAUGUUUUCAGUGUUCUGGAAAUUGUUUUCAUCAUGGUUUUUAUUAGUGUUUGCUUUUUUGGGCGGCGAAACGGAACGUCUCGCGACAUCUCUAUGAAUCGCGGCUGUCAGUUGAGCUGUCAAAUCACUUUGGAAUUUUGGUCGAUCUUGCGCGGCCGCAGUUUUAUUAUUUUCGGGGAUGAAAUCCCCCAUGUUUCAAAUCGUGUGAUGCGGAAUGCAUCCACGAUAAUUUAUUAAUAUAAUUUAAAAAUAUUCACACAUGAGAGAUUCCCUAAAUCCUGUUCGGAUGAGGGUGGGUUGCUGAAGACGGCGAGUGAAUUUCAAAUUAGCGAGCAGUUCUUCGUAAGUAUUUGUUUCCCAUUGCGGGUUUUUCAUAACCUAAUGCCACGUUCCACAUGUGAUUCUGACACUCGUAUUUUUCGUUUCAGAUGCGGGAUUUCAUAAUUUUACAAAUUUUAUAGUUCAAAUAUUUCAAAUUUCAUAUUUUACAUUUUGAUAUUUCAUAUAUUUUAAUUUCUCUUCAUUUCGUAUGAAAUAUUUGUCCUUUCUAAACUGCUGAUCUCUUCGUAUUUCCUCCUUGUCAUCAAACCUCUGUCUCUGCAAGAGUUUGAACGCUUACCUGUCGAAGAGAUGCAAGAGCUUCAUCUGGUACUGCGCGCUUGAGGCCGUGGAGGACGCUGCUUGGAGCCUAAAAGUGUGCGAGACCCGUUGGACCCCGGAAGAAGAGAGGAACGUUCAGGGUAACGGCUUAUAACCGCAUGGCUUCCAAGGUACCCACUUUUCCAUCCUUCAAGUAGGAGUCUUUCCGACCUGACAUCGUGCAGUUAUCUUAACUAUUAGAGUCUUUUAAUAUUUAGGCUGAGUUUUAAGAAAUUUGUAGUGGCAGUAAUAUUCACCAAACCGAACCUAACUAACGACCCUGAAUCCCUUGAGAUUGGCACUAUUACAGUAGUUAUUAUAAUAUCGUAAUUGUUAACUAUAUAUGAGCAUACGAGAUAAAAAUAAAUUGUGUCAAUUGAGAGGGAGCUGUUUUAUUUACAUUUUCUAAUUUCACACAAGGAACGGUAACUUAUAUAAAUUUCUGCAAGCCGGACAACCUCUUUUUCACGUGCAGACAAUUCACCAUCGUCUCCGUCUGCACCGGUGGCGGUUCAAUUCCAGUCACCAAGCCGCCAGGAAAAAAUCCUUUUCUUGCAGUGGCGCCCAUCUUUUGGUGUUUAUUAUUGCCAUCUUUUUUUUAUGAAGUUUAUGGGUGGAAAGCCAAUAAUAGAAGCAACAUUGUGUGCUGACUAUCCGCUCAUACACUUCUAUUUUGUUGUUAAAUAUUUUUUAUUAGGGAAUCUCUCAUGUGUGUACUGUUGUUUGUCUUGUUAUUUUUUGUAAUUUAUUUUAUUUGUGAUGCCCACAUAAUUUUUUUCAAGUUGUCAACCUAUUACAUAUUAUUAUGUUAACCAUUAUAACAGAGCGUACUACUCUAUAUGAGGUUAGUUUACAUGAUGUUAGGUUACAUAUUUUUUGUGUUGCAACUCUUAUUUUGACGUUGGAGACCUCUGGUUUUAUGGGGGUUAGCGUAAUCAGGGCACAGUGCUUCGUGACAAACAUUAGGCAAGUACUGAGGAAGCGCCGCAACUAACUCAGCCACUAUUAUAUUUAACGAAAUUAUCGUCUUAUCAAGACACAUCACUGACUGACCAUACGCACAUUAAGUCUUAUUUACAUACCUUUAGUAAUUUUACUAAUGCAAAAGUAACCUUUAACCUUUCACGCCAAAACCAAUGAGGUAAUUAUAUUUUUCUUUUGGUUUUGCACAUGUAAAUAGGACCGAGAAUAACAUAGACUACCUUCGGUUAUUCAACCAAAUUAAAAUAAAUAAAAUCUA